AAUCAACGCUGGCGGCGUGCCUCAGACAUGCAAGUCGAACGAUUAAAGCUCUCUUCGGAGAGUGCAUAAAGUGGCGCACGGGUGAGUAACACGUAAGUAAUCUACCUUCGAGUGGGGAAUAACGUCCGGAAACGGACGCUAAUACCGCAUAACGCAGCGGCAUCGCAAGAUGACAGUUGUUAAAGAUUUAUCGCUUGAAGAGGAGCUUGCGGCAGAUUAGCUUGUUGGUAAGGUAACGGCUUACCAAGGCUACGAUCUGUAUCCGGUCUAAGAGGACGGUCGGGACACACUGACACUGAAUAACGGGUCAGACUCCUACGGGAGGCAGCAGUCGGGAA
rnacentral:rRNA from 1 species